GGCUAUGUAGCUCAGCCGGUUAGAGCGCGGCACUCAUAAUGCUGAGGUCGGUGGUUCGA
rnacentral:tRNA from 1 species